rnacentral:rRNA from 1 species
UAAUACGGAGGGUGCGAGCGUUGUCCGGAAUCACUGGGCGUAAAGGGCGCGUAGGUGGCUCACGCAAGCGUGCGGUGAAAGCCCGGGGCUCAACCCCGGGUCGGCCGUGCGGACUGCGGGGCUCGAGCACUGUAGGGGCAGAUGGAAUUCCGGGUGUAGCGGUGGAAUGCGUAGAGAUCCGGAAGAACACCGGUGGCGAAGGCGGUCUGCUGGGCAGUUGCUGACACUGAGGCGCGACAGCGUGGGGAGCAAACAGGAUUAGAUACCCUGGUAGUCCACGCCGUAAACGAUGGGCACUAGGUGCU